rnacentral:misc_RNA from 1 species
GAAACACUUAAACAAGUUCACAGGAUAUGUAGUAUGUACAGGACCAUCCCCAAGUAGAAUGGCAAGCAAGAAUGGAAUCCAGUAAAGAUAACAAGUUUAAUGAGCUGGAAAUUUAGCACCAAGAGCAGUACUACUCUCUCUCUAUAUACAGAACAGGUGUAAAACUAUGUCCUCAUAGUUCAAUUAAAACAAGAUAUAUAGAUAUAAACACGGAAAAGAAAUAUCCAAUUCAUGAAACACAAUGCUGAGAAUAAUUAAUAAAAUUGGUUGCACAACAAAAGAUCU